AUUGAACGCUGGCGGCAUGCCUUACACAUGCAAGUCGAACGGCAGCACGGGAGCAAUCCUGGUGGCGAGUGGCGAACGGGUGAGUAAUAUAUCGGAACGUGCCCAGUCGUGGGGGAUAACUGCUCGAAAGAGCAGCUAAUACCGCAUACGACCUGAGGGGGAAAGGGGGGGCUUGCAAGACCUCUCGCCAUUGGCGCGGCCGAUAUCAGAUUAGCCAGUUGGUGGGGUAAAGGCCUACCAAGGCACCGAUCUGUAGUUGGUCUGAGAGGACGACCAGCCACACUGGGACUGAGACACGGCCCAGACUCCUACGGGAGGCAGCAGUGGGGAAUUUUGGACAAUGGGCGCAAGCCUGAUCCAGCAAUGCCGCGUGCAGGAAGAAGGCCUUCGGGUUGUAAACUGCUUUUGUCAGGGAAGAAAUCCUCUAGGUUAAUACCCUUGGGGGGAUGACGGUACCUGAAGAAUAAGCACCGGCUAACUACGUGCCAGCCGCCGCCGUAAAAC
rnacentral:rRNA from 1 species